GUCCCUGUAGCGCAAUUGAUAGAACGUUGGACUUCUAAUCCAAAGAUCGUGCGUUCGAAUUGCACCUGGGAUG
rnacentral:tRNA from 1 species